GGGACUUGAACCUUCUUGCCGCCGCAUAUGCAGGGAUUGUGACUUCAGGGGUGGCAUAUUAUGUUCAAGGUUUGGUUAUGAAGACAAAGGGGCCAGUUUUUGUAACAGCUUUUAGCCCUUUGAUGAUGGUGAUUGUUGCUUUCAUGGGAUCUCUCAUCUUGGCUGAAAAGAUUUAUGUUGGAGGGAUAAUUGGAGCAGUGUUGAUUGUGAUAGGGCUGUACUCUGUUUUGUGGGGAAAGUACAAAGAAAGCAAAGAGAAAGAAGAUGAAGAGAUUGUUGAAUUAGCAAUGAAAGGUGGAGAUCAAUUGCCUGUAAUAAAUGAAGGCAUUGAAACAAUUCAAAAGAAAGAGGGUUUGGCCAUUACUAUUCCACCCCAAGCUCAUGGAGAAGAG
rnacentral:misc_RNA from 1 species